GAAUAUUGGACAAUGGGGGGAACCCUGAUCCAGCCAUGCCGCGUGUGUGAAGAAGGCCUUUUGGUUGUAAAGCACUUUAAGCGAGGAGGAGGCUACUUAGAUUACUACUCUAGGAUAGUGGACGUUACUCGCAGAAUAAGCACCGGCUCACUCUGUGCCCACCGACGCGGUAAUACAGAGGGUGCAAGCGUUAAUCGGAUUUACUGGGCGUAAAGCGUGCGUAGGUGGACAAUUAAGUCAAAUGUGAAAUCCCCAGGCUUAACUUGGAAAUUGCAUUCGAUACUGGUUGGCUAGAGUAUGGGAGAGGAUGGUAGAAUUCCAGGUGUAGCGGUGAAAUGCGUAGAGAUCUGGAGGAAUACCGAUGGCGAAGGCAGCCAUCUGGCCUAAGACUGACACUGAGGUGCGAAAGCAUGGGGAGCAAACAG
rnacentral:rRNA from 1 species